GACGAACGCUGGCGGCGCGCCUAAUACAUGCAAGUAGAACGCUGAAGGAGGAGCUUGCUCUUCUGGAUGAGUUGCGAACGGGUGAGUAACGCGUAGGUAACCUGCCUGGUAGCGGGGGAUAACUAUUGGAAACGAUAGCUAAUACCGCAUAAGAGUAGAUGUUGCAUGACAUUUACUUAAAAGGUGCAAUUGCAUCACUACCAGAUGGACCUGCGUUGUAUUAGCUAGUUGGUGGGGUAACGGCUUACCAAGGCGACGAUACAUAGCCGACCUGAGAGGGUGAUCGGCCACACUGGGACUGAGACACGGCCCAGACUCCUACGGGAGGCAGCAGUAGGGAAUCUUCGGCAAUGGACGGAAGUCUGACCGAGCAACGCCGCGUGAGUGAAGAAGGUUUUCGGAUCGUAAAGCUCUGUUGUAAGAGAAGAACGAGUGUGAGAGUGGAAAGUUCACACUGUGACGGUAUCUUACCAGAAAGAGACGGCUAACUACGUG
rnacentral:rRNA from 1 species